rnacentral:rRNA from 1 species
AGUGAACGCUGGCGGCAGGCCUAACACAUGCAAGUCGAACGAGAAAGUAUCUUCGGAUAUGAGUACAGUGGCAGACGGGUGAGUAACGCGUGGGAACCUACCUUAUAGUCUGGAAUAGCCCCGGGAAACUGGGAUUAAUACCGGAUAUUAUCUACGGAUGAAAGAUUUAUCGCUAUAAGACGGGCCCGCGUAAGAUUAGCUAGUUGGUGAGGUAAUGGCUCACCAAGGCUACGAUCUUUAGUUGGUUUGAGAGGAUGAUCAACCACACUGGAACUGAGACACGGUCCAGACUCCUACGGGAGGCAGCAGUGAGGAAUGUCGGACAAUGGGCGAAAGCCUGAUCCAGCCAUGCCGCGUGAGUGAUGAAGGCCUUAGGUUGUAAAACUCUUUAAGUUGGGAAGAUAAUGACGGUACCAACAGAAUAAGCCCCGGCUAACUUCGUGCCAGCCGCCGCAGUAAUAC